UGAUUACAUCAAAAGGUUCAUGCUUUUGUACGGAGAUGGUCAGUUAUGACCAUAAGUGAAAUUACUCUGCAUCAUGUUAAUGAGAGCCUUGUCUUUGGUUUUUAUCUUCCCAGUCUUACAGACAGAUCUGGUACAGUUUCCCCCCUUGACAAGAAUUCUUAAUGGAGAUUCUGUCAAUCUCAACUGCAAAAUUCUGAAGGCUAACACCUAUUGCUAUGAUAUAGUGUGGUACAUACAGAGGAAUGAUGAAGCCCCACAGCGGAUAGAAGAAAACAAAACAUUUUCUCCGUCAAAAGAGCAAGACCAAAGAGAAUGUCUCUUAACAAUACAUAAUGUACAAAAAUCUUAUGCUGGGGUGUAUUUUUGUGCCUGUUGUCACUAUGCACUAAGCUCCUUCGGGAAUGGGACACAACUCUUUGUCACAGAUGGAACAACAUACAUCGUGUCUGUAUUCAUUCUUCCUCCAUUGGCUGAAGGAAUGAAGCUGAGAAAUACAGCAACUCUAAUUUGCAUUGCACAUAGUUUUCCUGAUGACCAAAUUGCAGUUUACUGGAAUAUUGGUGGAAAUUUUACAUAUGGGCUUACUGUUCCUGGCAUUGGUGGUGAUGAUGGAUUUUACAGUGUGAAAAGUAUACUAACAAUACCAACUGCAGCCUGGGACAGUGAUGCAAACUACACUUGCAUAGUAGUUGCAGGAAACAGGACAAUCAAAACCAGAGUAUGGAAAGGUCCUGCAAUAAUGUCUGAUGGUCUUGCUACAGUAACUUCUGAUGUUAUCGUCAUGCAGUUUGGAUUAAUGUUUGGAUUCUGUUUAUCAGUCAGUGCCCUUCUUCUUGUAGCAGUGAUAGUUAUUGCACUCUGUUAUCUGAGACAGUUAAGACGAGGUCCAAGAUUAUUCAAACAGAAGAAUUAUAUAUGAAUGUCAAAAGAACAACAGGAGAACAAAGAUAAUACACAUAAAGAUGCAGAACAGAAGUAUUUUAAAGCCCAUGAUCCAAGAAGCAAAAACAGGUUGCAAAAAUGCCAAAGUUGAUAUAAAAAUUCAGUGCAUCAGUGGCACCUCUGAAGUACUCAGCAUGCAAAUAAAGGAGAUCUGCAAGCUACUCAGCAACAUAGAUCCACUAUGAGACAGUUCUUUUUUUACCUCAUGUUUUCACAUACAAAUGCUUUUAACUGUACUGCUUAUAAUAUAAUCAGUUUAUUCUAAAACUGGGUUCUUUAUACACUGGAAGGAAAAUGCUAUCAUUAAAUUGUUAUUAAUGUAUGUACCUCAUUAUUAGGUAUUACCUUGUAAAGUUUCAUAUUUCUACUACUAUAUCUGUCAGUAUUUGAAUGUUAUUAACAGCUGUUUUAAUUCCAUUCAAAUUAUGAGAAAUAAAUUAAAAUCCAAUCAUCAUUAUCAUUAUUCUUGGUAAGCAUCACCAUCACUAUCAUGAAGCUUCUUUAAGUUAGACGCACCAUAAUUUCAUGCAUGAAGUCUUUAAUCCCACCUUGAAGAUCCCAAUACAGUUUUAUAUGUACAAUGCAUAUUGCAAUAACCAGUACAGCUUAUAAAACAUACACAAAUUUGUUAGUGACAUUCAUCAUACUGAUCGCUGGAUUACAUGCAGACCCUUUAGCAGAACUAUACAUUGAUGUUUACUAUAACACAUACGGUCAUGGAGUUUGACUCAUAAGAAAUCCACAUGUUUACAUAGUGCAACUUCCACGAAGCAACCUUGAUCUUUAUGGAUCUAAUUACAUAAUCCUAGCUAUCCUAGCUACUUCUGAGUUGCAUAUAAUACUGAAUGUCUUCCGUAAGAUAGCAAUGGAUUCAGAUAGGUGAUACGACUGGCUUUGCCACCACUCACAUCACACAGAGAGGCAUGGUAUUCAAAGAAUUACAGCAGCAGUGUAUGUGCAUUUCUUCACUUUUUUAAGGUUGCACAAACAUUACAUCCCUACCUCAUUAUGAAUAUAAUGUCCAGGCCAAGGUUUGUUCUGUCUCUUAUCUGUGCUCCCCUCCUACCGCCAACCCACUGAAUAGAUAAAUAGAUCAUUGCCUUUGUCUGGCUUACCAACCUUUGCAUUGCAUAAUGUUAGUUUUUUUUUUGUCUAGAGACCUAGCAUAUAAUUUAAUAAGACCAGUUAAAAGAGACAUUAUUUUUAGGUGGACAAUGAAGUUGGAAAACACCAUAGAAAAAAUUAAUUUCAUUCAAAAUCCAUUAAAUUAAUUAUACCAUUGUCAACCAUUUGUCAAAAAGGAUAAUCAUUAUUCAAAAGAAACGUACCAUAUUGAUGCCUGAUUAUCAAAUAAAGUAUCAAAGUAAAUGUAUACCUGUUAAAACUGUCUGAACUAAUGUUAUAGUAUUUAACAUUAAAAAAUGAGCUAUCUGUGUGGCAGACUUAUUACAUUUUUUUCUGCUGUAACAAACCAUGUUUAGCCAUGUGCUUUCAUCACUAUCACCUCAAAUUCUUCGGACAUGACAGAAGAUAGGAUUAUGAAUCUCUCUAAUACAAGUGAGAUGCAUAUCAUUACAAAACACUGUAGGACAGAGGGACAGUACCAUAACAUAACCACUGACAGGAAGUAAAUACUAAUCUAGGCAACAAGCACAUUUCUUUUUGCAGAAGAUGAGUUUGAGUGUUAGCUGUGAUAUAAGCCAUACAUUUAAAUUUUAAACUGUCUGGCUUUCAGAAUUAUUCCAUGGAAGUUAAGCACA